GAUGAACGCUGGCGGCGUGCUUAACACAUGCAAGUCGAACGAAGCACUUUAUUUGAUUUUCUUCGGAAAUGAAGAUUCUGUGACUGAGUGGCGGACGGGUGAGUAACGCGUGGGUAACCUGCCUCAUACAGGGGGAUAACAGUUGGAAACGACUGCUAAUACCGCAUAAGCGCACAGCAUCGCAUGAUGCAGUGUGAAAAAACUCCGGUGGUAUGAGAUGGACCCGCGUCUGAUUAGCCAGUUGGCGGGUAACGGCCCACCAAAGCAACGAUCAGUAGCCGACCUGAGAGGUNACCGGCACAUUGGGACUGAGACACGGCCCAAAACUCCUACGGGAGCAGCAGUGGGGAAUAUUGCACAAUGGGGGAAACCCUGAUGCAGCGACGCCGCGUGAGCGAAGAAGUAUUUCGGUAUGUAAAAGCCUCUAUCAGCAGGGAAGAAGAA
rnacentral:rRNA from 1 species